rnacentral:rRNA from 1 species
GACGAACGCUGGCGGCGUGCUUAACACAUGCAAGUCGAACGGAAAGGCCCUGCUUGCAGGGUACUCGAGUGGCGAACGGGUGAGUAACACGUGGGUGAUCUGCCCUGCACUUCGGGAUAAGCCUGGGAAACUGGGUCUAAUACCGGAUAGGAGCCAUUUUUAGUGUGAUGGUUGGAAAGUUUUUUCGGUGUAGGAUGAGCUCGCGGCCUAUCAGCUUGUUGGUGGGGUAAUGGCCUACCAAGGCGGCGACGGGUAGCCGGCCUGAGGGGGUGGACGGCCACAUUGGGACUGAGAUACGGCCCAGACUCCUACGGGAGGCAUCAGUGGGGAAUAUUGCACAAUGGGCGCAAGCCUGAUGCAGCGACGCCGCGUGGGGGAUGACGGCCUUCGGGUUGUAAACUCCUUUCGCUAGGGACGAAGCUUUUUGUGACGGUACCUAGAUAAGAAGCACCGGCUAACUACGUG